AUUGAACGCUGGCGGCGUGCUUAACACAUGCAAGUCGAGCGGCAGCGCGGUAGCAAUACUGGCGGCGAGCGGCGAACGGGUGAGUAAUGCUUCGGAAUCUGCCCAGUAGUGGGGAAUAACCAGUCGAAAGACUGGCUAAUACCGCAUACGACCUGAGGGUGAAAGCGGGGGAUCGCAAGACCUCGCGCUAUUGGAUGAGCCGAAGUCGGAUUAGCUAGUUGGUAGGGUAACGGCCUACCAAGGCGACAAUCCGUAGCUGGUCUGAGAGGACGACCAGCCACACUGGGACUGAGACACGGCCCAGACUCCUACGGGAGGCAGCAGUGGGGAAUAUUGGACAAUGGGGGCAACCCUGAUCCAGCGACGCCGCGUGUGUGAAGAAGGCCUGCGGGUUGUAAAGCACUUUUAGUGGGGAGGAAAAGCUCAGACCUAACACGUCUGGGAAUUGACUUAACCCAAAGAAAAAGCACCGGCUAACUCUGUG
rnacentral:rRNA from 1 species